UUUUUAGGAAUUCAAUAAAAAAUGAGGGUACUCCAUUAGGAAUUUUCAUGUUUUUGAAUGAAUAUGCGAAUAUUGAUAUGUUCUUUCCCUGCAUGAACCGCCAUUCAGCAUUUAAUUUACAGUAUUUCGUGCUCAUCCCUACACUGUUGCUGUUGGGACUCGACAUGUGAAUAAUAUGGCUGGGAUAGGGUGGCCUCAGAAUCAU
rnacentral:lncRNA from 1 species